AUGGAAAAGCACCAAGGAAUGUUCAGAAAACAUGUGAAGACUCUGACUUUUCUAUUUAAUGUAAUUAGCCCAAGAAACUUGCUUUGCGUACUUUCUUCAACUGCCCUAACAUUCUCCCGGCGCUCCGUUGCCUCCUCCAAAGCGCUGGGGGGCUGGCUGACUUGAAAGUGUGAGUCAAUUUCAGCUGCAAAGAACUUGAGCUCCUGGAUUUUAAACGUGAACCCCUUGGUACAGCAAGAGCUCCAGGGACGGCUGCCCAGCUUUGUGUCCGCGUGUCCCUGUUCACCAGCGAGCCAUCCGACGCCAGGAUUCGUCUGCCCAGAGAUCCCCUUCUGAGGAAGAAAUUGAGCGUCAGGGAGAGGUAGCGGCUUCUACAGUUGCUGCUUGGCCACGCCUGCAUCUGUGGACGGAGAAGCAAAGGAAGACCCUCUCUGCCCUUCGAAGUGGCUCAUGAAAAUAACUGGAGGCCGAUUCCCAGAUGGGCAUGACGAGCGAGUUAGAGA